rnacentral:rRNA from 1 species
GACGAACGCUGGCGGCGUGCUUAACACAUGCAAGUCGAACGGAAAGGCCCUGCUUUUGUGGGGUGCUCGAGUGGCGAACGGGUGAGUAACACGUGAGUAACCUGCCCUUGACUUUGGAAUAACUUCAGGAAACUGGGGCUAAUACCGGAUAGGAGCUCCUGCUGCAUGGUGGGGGUUGGAAAGUUUCGGCGGUUGGGGAUGGACUCGCGGCUUAUCAGCUUGUUGGUGGGGUAGUGGCUUACCAAGGCUUUGACGGGUAGCCGGCCUGAGAGGGUGACCGGCCACAUUGGGACUGCGAUACGGCCCAGACUCCUACGGGAGGCAGCAGUGGGGAAUAUUGCACAAUGGGCGGAAGCCUGAUGCAGCAACGCCGCGUGCGUGAUGACGGCCUUCGGGUUGUAAACCGCUUUCGCCUGUGACGAAGCGUGAGUGACGGUAAUGGGUAAAGAAGCACCGGCUAACUACGUG